GAGUAAAAAUUUAAAAUUUAAUGAAUUAUAGGCGAUUCUUUCAAAUAACCAUUUUUAAAGUUUUUAUCACAAAAAUAGUCCACAAAAACGAAAAUGACCAAAAUAGUUUUUUUUUUAAUUUUGAAAUUUUUAAUAUUUACUUUUUAAAUUUUGAAACUCUAUCUUCAAAACGUCACCCCUUAACUCUAAACCCUAAUUCUAUAUAGUUAACUCUAAGAUAAAAAUGUACUUUUACCAUUUAAUAAAACUUUUUUGGUCAUUUUUCUCAUUGAAAGCUAUUUUUGUGACAAAAACACAAAAAACUAUCCUAGAAAAAAUUUCAUGAAUUAUUCUAAAAAAUGAUUUUUACUGUUUAAACUAAAAUUACAAGCAAAACAUUUAACAGCGCAUAUAUUUUUAGUAACUACUUUAUUUUCAAGCCAAACAAAACUUUGACAUUGUUUUUUAUUAACAGAUAAUAAUUUAGCAAAAAUACAUAAUUUAUUUAUUUUUCACAUAAUUAAAUUUCAAGCAUAAAUUUUUUUUUUAAAAAAACAGAAAGUGAAUAUUCAUAAAAAUAGAAAAAUAAAAACAGAUUUAUGUUCUUGUUUCUUCACGUAAUAUCAAAACUCAAACCAACAAAAAAAAUAAUUUCACAAAAAAUCAACUCCUCUGACCACCAAAUUUAUGUUUAAACUAAAAAGAAAGAUAAAACCUAAAACCAAAAACCAAUAAUUAACACGUAAUCAAAAUAAAGAUUUAAAAAUAUUAAUUUGGAAAACAAAAAUAAAUUGUAAAAAUACAAAAUAACCAAUUAGUAAAAUGAAAUAAUAUAACUUGAGUUUAGUGAAAACUUUAUUCAACAAAUAGUGACUUAAAAAAUUAAAAAUAUAAAUACAAACUUUUAAGAACAAAUAGAAAGUUGCUAAAAAAAAGAACAUAUAGAAAAAUUUGUAAGAAAAAAGAUCAUUUAAAAUAUUGUUUUCAUGUGAAUCUUAUGAAAUUUGUUUUCCUUUUUUAGUCACAAACUCAAACAUAGAAAAUUAAUUAAAAAUAAAAUAAUGAAAACACAACUAAAAAAUGAUAUUCUUUUAGAUGCGAAUAGCAUGAUUUGUGGUCGUUUAUUCGAUUGGGUUUUAGAAAAGAGAAAAAAAAAACAGAAGAAACCUGAAAGAAAAAAAAACAACUUUCAAAUAUUAGAAAAAUCGAAAAGAUUACAAGUAUUAACUGUUAGAUUUAGAAGAAAAAAAAAGAAAUAACCAAUAAAUGAAGGCUCUAUUUGUCAAUUAACUAAAAAUGGGUGAUUAUACUAGUAGUUAUGUUGAAUUUUUGGUUCCUCAAAAUUUAUACUAGUUAGGUUGAAUUUUUAGUUAAAUUAUUGAAAGGUAGAUCCCGCUCUUUUCCUCUAAAUUCCUCAUGAAUGAAUAAAUUUAUAAAGAAAAGUUUUCCUCAGUAAUUCUGAUCAAGAACAAAUUGAAUAAAGUUUUCUAUUUUUGCAAUUCCUAAAAUGAAAUUUUUUUUUUCAUUUUGUUCAUUUUUUUUCAUUUAUCUGGUGGUCCCCAAUCAAAGCUUUUAGAUUUUAGAGAGAGAUAGGAAAAAAAUGAAAAGAGAAAGAGUGUCUUUUUAAUGUAUAUAGAGAGCAAUUCCUCAUAAAUCUCUUAUAUAGGAGUUGAGAAACAUUACAAUUUCUUUUUGUAACUACGUGUCAUCGCUAAGAUGAUUCUUAGAAUCAUAGAAAUAUAUUGAUUCAUAUAAUUAAAUAAUAAGUUUUUUUAGCUCACCAUAAAUUCAUUUAUUAAUAUUCAUUAUUAUUUUCUUAAAUAAUCACCAGACAGCAACAAGUCUGGGUCGUGAUCCGUUGUUCUUGUCCUCUUCCUUCUCCUCAAAUUCUGAUCGUGCGGCAGCGAUAAAGAUUAGGUUCGCAGAUAUAAUUGUCAAAUCGAGUAGUAACAAGUCUGAGGCUAUAAUGACGAUCAGAAGAGAGAAGCAACUUCUUCAGCUUCAAGAAAAAGCCAUGAUCGAGGAAAGGAUGAAAGUCAGACAAGAGGAAAGGCUUGCGGUGCUGAAGAUGGAAGAAGAAGAAGAAGCAAGAUCAAACGAUCUUCGGGAUGACGAACAUUUCUUCAUUGACCACCCUGUUGCUGUACAUAUUAGGCUAUUACCAGUGCUCAGGUAACACAUAAUUUUCUUUCAAACUGGUUCUGUUUUACCCCGUUCAUGAAUCAUUUUUGGUAGGACGAUCUUCAGCAUUACUGAAAACAUAGAAUGUUGUAAGUAUCACAUUUUUGAAUAAUAAUAUCAUACUCAAAGAUACAACAUUUACUAAACUUGUCUUAUAUAAUGUUAAGUCGAGGUAUUGAACAAAUGGCCUAUUAGCUCAGUUGGUUAGAGCGUCGUGCUAAUAACGUGAAGGUCACAGGUUCGAAACCUGUAUAGGCCACUCCAUUUUUGUGUCCUUUUUUUUAUCACGCAUUCUUUGUGAUUUAGGACUGGUCAGGCCUUGGAGGAGCCAAGCUUCAUUCUCUUCACAGCAAACGCACAGAAACAAGGCUAUGUUUCCAACGACAGUAACAAGGCAUUACGCUUCAUGUUUGCUUAUAGCUGAUUGAUCUUAGUCAAGUAGAAGAUCCAACGCUAGGCUUUCCACACACACCUACAAAGAUCAGAGGUAUCAACAUAAAGAAUGUAAGCGCUGCAUGCUGUCUACACCCACCUGUCUAUUGUGGUUUCAGGCCAAACGUUUCCAAGAUCUGAUCGAGUCUUUCUAUACCUGAUGUCUCAUCAACUUGAAUUGAUUAUUAGAAGGCUUCUUUUGGUUUGACUUAAAUGUCUUCACUUGUUAGUUCUUUUAAAACAAACCCGUUUGUUUGACUUAAAUGUCUUCACUUACGGUUUCCAGAAGAUGACGAAGAACAUAUUACAUACUGUAACUUAAAUGUCUUGGUCUUAUAAUCUGAAGAACAGUCCACUUACCAUGAGAUGAUGUGUGAUUUGCAUGUUUAAGAUUUAUCUCUUUUAGAUUGGUCCCAAAAAAAGAGGAUUUUCCUUUGAUGCUAAUAGCAUGAUUUAUCGUCUUUUAUUUGAUUGAUUUUAAGAAGAAAAAAAAUAACCGUCGAUUGUUAGAAAAAUAGAAAAAGAUUUUACCAAAAAAAAAAGGAGUUUUGUUAAAAAAAAAGAAGAAAGGAGAAAUUAGUAACGUUAGAUUUUAAUAAAUUUUAGAAAAAAGGAAAUAACCAGUACGUUUAUGGUUAGGUCAUGAGAAAAGCAAAAAGGAAACAACUAUAUUAACGGCUGGAUAUUUGACUAAAAGGAAAUAACCAAUAAGAUGAUCAUGUAUUCAAAAAAGGAAAUAAUAUCCAUUGCAAAACAAUAAUCGAAUUUUAAAAACGAAAAAGGAAAUAGAGAGGGUCCCAUUUAACAACCUAUAUAUAAACACACCGAGUCUCCUACAGAAAUAGAUUUUCACAGAGACACUCUCUUCUCUACAAAUCCGAGAUUUAGGGUUUCUUUUUCGGCAUUGAUUUUUCUUCAUUCUUCUUCUUUAUCUUUACUCUCUCACUCUCUGUUUCAAAUCCAAAGCCUAGGGUUUUGCAAUGACGACAGCGACAAGUCUGGGUCGUGACCCGUUGUUCUUGUCCUCUUCCUUGUCAAAAUCUGAUCGUGCGGCAGCGAUAAAGAUUAGGUUUGCAGAUAUAAUUGUAAAGUCGAGUAGUAACAAGUCUGAGGCUAUGAUGACGAUCAGAAGAGAGAAGAGACUUCUUCAGGAAAGGCAGCUUGAAGAGAAAGCCAUGAUCGAGGAAAGGAUGAAAGUCAGACAAGAGGAAAGGCUUGCGGUGCUGAAGAUGGAAGAAGAAGAAAAAGCCAUGAUGGAGGAAAGGAUGAAAGUCAGACAAGAGGAAAGACUUGCGAUAAUCAAGAAGGAAGAAGAAGAAGAAGCAAGAUCAAACUGUAAGUUCGAACAAGAUCCCUUGUCUGCCCAAAAAACCGAAAAAGACCUGUUAAUUCUCAUUGGCGGUUCCCGCAAGGCAAGAGAUCGAUCUUUGCUUAAAAAGUUUGGGUUGGUUUUAAAAACUGAUCAUAUUGAUGAUGAUCGUCUUUAUGAUCUUGAGGAAGGUGAAAUCUUUUAGAGUACAAGUAGUAUCCUCACAAUUAAUGAUGAUCUUCUUGAUGAUCUUGAAGUAUUUUAGAGUCUAGUAUUCGGACAGUUUUUUUUUUUCUCUGUUUAUGAUGUAGGAAACAUGCGCUCUGUAAAAUCGUGUAGAAUUAAUUGUUUGAUAGCUGAUUGGUCUUUUGUGUUAUAAAAGUCUUGAGUUUUACUUGUCUUGUCUUCUUUUUGACUUGCUUUCAAACUCGUUAAACCCAUUAUUUUCUUAGUGUUAUUGGCUUCAUUAUGCAUGACAAAUCACUUGGAACAUGUAAGUUGAUUAAGUGACGCAUCAUCUCCAUAAAUCAUGACAAACAGUUCUUUUACAAACUAAUUCUCUUUGGGAUUUAUCCAAUUUGAUUGACUAGAUAACAUCAACUUGAUUUGACUGUAACAAGGCAUUACGCUUAAUGUUUUCUUAUAGCUGAUUGGUUUUGUAAAAGUAGAAGAUCCAAGGCUAGGCUUUCCAUCGACCUACAAACAGCAGAGUGAUAGUCGCAGGUUAUGGCCCAUGGAAUGGAAGCUUCAUUGUGCAAAGGCUAGUCUUGUUUUCAAAUAGCAGAAUAUCUAAUUUCUCUCAGCGUAAUCGCCAUCAGAGUACAUUCCCUUGGAUCCUGAGAAAAGGUCGCUUCCUUAAGGGUUGUAUUGAUGAUACUUGUGUAAUGAUUAUUGAAGGAUCAAUUGGCGGUGUCUGCCAAGGCGGAGGCUAGUUCCAUAAGUUACAUAAUUGCUCAGAAUAUUGUUUAAUAUUGCCUCACCGUUAACCAAAGUCUCAGUUUAUGCCCAAAUUCUAGAUGCAUGCUUUCAAUACUUUUGUGGUUUUUGGGCCAAACUUUUUCAAGAUUUGAUUGAAUCUGUAACGCCAUAACCAUCCAUGUUUCAAAGGUUCGAAAUCAUUGUUUACUGCUUUUGUAAUCACCUCAUGAUAUUUUUUCGUGUGUUGGCCUCACGUGGUAUCGCGAAUCACUUACUAUAGACCAUCCCAAUUUGAAGAACUUUACUAUUUUAUUGUUUUACAAUGAGUUAAUUUCUUUUUUUGAAGACGUGAUAUUUUGUCAGUGUAUUGCUUAUUUCCUUCUUUGUUUUCUAAAAUCCAACCGUUGAUAACUGGUUCCUCUAUGUUGGUUUUAAGAAGAACUAACUAGUGAAGAUAUCUUUUAUAAAAACAGAACUAACAAGUGAAGACAUCACAACAAAAGAAACCGUCAAUAUGUAUCCAAAUAAUCAGUUCGGAAUUAAUGAGACCCCUGAGGCCUAAAAAGAUUCUAUAAUAUCCCAGUUUGGUGAAACUAAUAAAAUUCAUGAGGCCAAAUCAAUUUUCUUAAGUCUUUUUAUAUACCACAAACCCGGAUAUUAUAGAAUCUUUCUAAGCCUCACUGGGUCUCAUUAAUUUCGAACUGAUUAUUUGGAUACAUAUUGAAGGUUUCUUUUGUUGUGAUGUCAUUACUUGUUAGUUCUGUUUUUAUGAAAGCUAUCUUCACUUGUUAGUUCUUAAAACCAACAUAGAGGAACUAGUUAUCAACGGUUGGAUUUUAGAAAACGAAGAAGGAAAUAAGCAAUACACUAACAAACUAUCACGUCUUCAAAAAAGGAAGUUAACUCAUCGUAAAACAAUAAAAUAGUAAAGUUAAAAUUGGGAUGGUCUCUUCUUUGGAGAUUAUACAACCGUAAAUAAUUGUGUAUUUCCUUUUUUCACCUUUUUAUAAAUAUCAUUGAUUUAUUUGUUUCUUUUUUUUUAAAUUAGAUGAUUUAUUUUAUUUUGUUUUCUUUUACUUUCAAGAACGAAUGAAUAUAUGACAGAUAAAAUAAAUGAAAUUUAACAUGAUUUAUUGAAUUUGAUAAAUAUGUAUUAUAACAGAAUUUCAUACUAAUUGAUAAAGUAUAUUUCUGAAUUUUUUUUGAAAAUAUGUUUUUCUGUUUUUGGAUUUAGCUAUUUAGCUAAAUUCUCUCUCUCAAGUCUUGUAUUAUUAAGUUGUUUUAAUUAGUUCAAAGUGUCCAUAUUUGGGUUCUAGUUGUCCAAUUUAUAGAUUUAUGUUUCUCAGGAUAUUUUUCAUUUUUCGCUACCCUUUGUAUUUCAGUUUGGUUCUUUCAGUAUGAAUCAAUAUAUAUCUUCAGAGAAAAAAGGCAGCCUCACACUUCUGCAUAAUAUAUCAUUCUCAAGGUCACACAUUAGGUCAAGAUUUGGUUAUUGAAUAUUACGUUGAGAUUAUAAUAAAUGGCUCAUUAGCUCACUUGGCCAGAGUGUUAUUCUCAAGGUCACUUCUGCAUAAUAUAUCGAUUCUGCAUAAUAUUUCAUUCAAUUCUUGUUUAAUCUCAAAACCACAGAUCGACAAGAAAAUAUGAAUUUUCUUUGUUUUAUUUAUUCAAGUUUAGAGAUUCUAAUUAUUUUUAAUUUCUGAAAUGUGUUUCCACAAAAUUUAUUGCACUUGCAUUAUAUAAUUAGUUUUGUCAUAUUUUUGUGGUACAAAUGUUCAUGGUUAAUAUGCUAUAUAUUUUAAUAUGUAAUAUAUAUGAAAACAAUUUUUGUUUAGUUCUAUUAUAUAUAUAGAUAUUAAUUUUUGAAUUGGUUAAAUGUUGAAAAUGACUUCAUUCAUAAAUAUGAUUCACAGAGAAACUCAAAACAUUUGAUGGUCUGGUGGGGGCAAGAAAUACAAGGUGUAUCAUUUCUCCUUUACAUGUGGAAUUGAUAGCUUUUAUCUGGGCAGUAGAAUCCAAUCUUCGAAAGUUUCAAGUGACAUUUGCAACAAUUUGUUCUUAACUGGUGAAAAUCUUUUCCGAACCAGAAAAAUAAUCCGAGUUUGCAACAUAUUUGGAAGCAAUUCAAUGACUUAGGGAAACGUUCUCCACAGCUGAGACCAUCCAUGUCUCUCAGAUUUAAAAUACAAGGGCAUACAAUAUUCAGCCUCCUACUUUGUCUUUAUGAAUGCAGAGUCCCAUGUUUGCUUAGUAAAAUCUAGAUAGAAUCUGUUUAUAAUAUUGAUGACUAAAAACUUAAAAAUUAUUAUCCUAUAAACAUUAUCUUUGUUAUUAGCUUUUUCUGUUAUUGCCAUUUUUAUUGUUUUUUUAUCAUUUUAAAUAUGUUAUAAUAAUUAUUAAUAUAUAUUAUAUUUGAAAAUUGCAUCAGACCCCUAAAAGGGCUCGCACGGGACUGACCAUGAAAUUUGCGAACAAAAAUUAAACUUGGAUUUUGUUUUUUUUUUUGAUCAAACAAAACUUGGAUUUUGUUUAACUGCAGGAUUUCAGUACUUCAUGCAGCUGCCGAUCGUCAUUUUAACUUUUAAUAAUGUGACAAGACGAAAAAAGCAAGGGAGGAGGGGAGAAGGCUCAUGUAUAGUCAUUUCACGAGUAAACAAUGAUGAUGUAAUCAUUUAAACUAUCCAGAACCACAAAACUAUCAGUGCAUAAUACAUCCACAAGUAAACAAUGAUGAUGUAAUCAUUUGAACUAUCCAGAACCACAAAACUAUCAGUGCAUAAUACAUCCACAGGGUAUUUCCAACCUAUGAUACUAUUUUAAGAGACAAUUAGCUAGAUAUCCUAAAAUGAGGUCCUAAAAUGAUUUCUAUCUAUUGAGUGACAUAAAAGGUUCAAGUUGUAUCUCUUUGGUUUGAAAUAGACGAAAAUGCCCUCGAUGCUACUUGCGACUUUCUCUUUCAUUUGACACAAAACUCUGCGACUUGCAGUCUUUGUCUUCUGACAAAAGUUUCUGACGCGUGACAGGUGAAACAAAAUAGUGUCAGAGCUAUAGAUAUGUAAUUAGGAUAGGUUUGUAGUUAGUCUUUUUCUCUACAUUUUUUCUUUUAUUUGUGAGUUAAUUUUAUGGUUUUUUAUCAUAUUAAUAGAAAUCUAGUUUUCUUUCUCAUCUCUUUCAUUUAUCAUUCAAGCUUAUAGAAAAAAAAAUCAGACUAAUUUUACAAUGUUUUAUAUAAAGAUCAAAAAAACAUUGAUGAUUUUUUUACGAAGAUUCCAAAAGAUUCAUUGUUUUUGUAAAAAACCAUAAAAAAUAAACCGAAGAUCGUAGAUUUAAAGUAGUAAUUCUAUGAAAGAAAAAAUAUGUUAGUUGUUACAAAGAGGUUGUGGCUAAUUGAUAAAUGGUUUUCAAGAUUACAAAAUAGUUGUCAUUAGCUGAUACAUGAAUUGUUAACCAGUACAUGAUUGUUAACAAAUAAAAUAUUCGAUACAUAAUUUGUUAGCUAUUACGUAGUUUGUUAUAUGAUACAUUGCUUUAUACCAAAUGAGUGACCACUACUUUGUAGCCAAGUUUGUAGCAACUAACAACCCAUAUAUUCGUUAACAAAUCAUGUACCAGUUAACAAACCAAACCAUAUAUCAGUUAACAAACCAUGUAUCGGUUAACAAACAAUGUAUCGGUUAACAUCACUUAUUUAAUAACAUUUUGUAAUAUUUUGUUGCAGUUAACAAACUUGUAUCAUUUAAUAACACUUUCGUAGCAGCUAACCAGAAAUAUAUCUCGAUCAGCAAUUUCCUAACCAUAACCACCAGGAUGGAGAAUUUGAAAGCCUUUGUUGUGUUCCAGGAACUCAUCUGAGACAAUGAUUCACUCAUCUGGAACUCAUCAGUUAACACUGCAUAUAUCAAUUAAAAAAUCAUUUAUCAGUUAGUAAUUCAUUUAUAAAAAAAUAUAUUAACUUACAAAUCAUGUAUCCACUCUUUUAUCAGUUAACAAAUCAUGUAUCAAUACAAUGUAUAAACUGACAAACAAUUUAUCAAAUCAUUUAUUAAUUAACAAACCAUAUAUCAGUUAAUGAAAAGUUUAUUUGUAUAUUCUCAAUUAUUUAUUUUAUUAAGUAACAAUGUUUUAUUAUAAUAAUAACUUACGAAAUAUGUUUUUCAAAGAGUAGAAAAUGAAAAAAUUGAUAAAACUAAACAUAAAAUGGUAUCAGAUAACUAAGUAAAAACUUGGUUAACAUAAUUGUUAUUAAAAUACGUAUAAGCUAACAAACAAUGUAUCAUCUAACAAAACAUGUAUUUGCUACUUACGACUUAUUUUGGGACGGGUUCGUCCGCCGGAGGAACAAGAAAAAAAUCAAACAAACCAUGAUGACGUUCUCUUCUAAUUUAGAAAUCAAAGUCAGUAAAGAGAAAUAUGAUUAACAACAAUGUUCUCUUUUUUGUUCUUAUGAGAUACAAUAUUAAAGAGAGAGAGAGAAAGAGAGCUAGAGCUUAUUAUAAGAGGGAAGAAAAAUAGCUAGAAUCUAGUAGACUGAUACACUGACACACUGACUGACACACUGAUACAACCGUCUGUGAGUGGGUUGAUAGGGUUGCAGGGGAAGUAGACUCGUAGGUUUGUAGGGCCAAAACGGGAAUAUAUAAUUCUCUUCUUCGGUUGAGGUAGGAGUUUAAUAUGGUGGUCUAAAAGGGAUACAAUCACAUAUUAUCUCCUAUUUUAAUGUCGUUUUAGCAGUAAAUAUUUUUGACUCUCCAACCACACCACCAAAUAAUACACAAAAAAAUAUUAUUCACUAUUAUAUUAUUAAACAAGAUUCUCUUAGUUUUUAAUUGUUUAGUAAAAUAUUUAUAAUAUUAUAACUAAAAGAUAUUAACCAAUAUUAAUUUAAAUGAUAUUUCUAUUUCACCUUUUUAAAAAAUAUUUAUAAUUUAAAUAUAAAUAUAUUAUAUGAAAAACCUUAUAUUAAAAUAUUAUUAUCAAAACAAACUCUUACAUUUAACAAUUAAAAACACAUAACAAAAGCUAGAUUACAUUAUACAAAAUUUAAGAAUUAAAAACACUUUACAAAAGCUAGAUUACGUUAUCUGAUUGUACGCAAUGUUAUCUUUUAUGUUGUUUUUUUUAGUUUUAAUUUUGUAAUUUAAAUUUUCAGUGUAUAAAUUAAUUUUUUUUAUGUAUUUUCAACUAGUUUUUAUUUGUUUUCAUAUAAAUUAAUAUUUUACAUUAAAUAAAUUUAAAAGAUAACAAAACAAAUAUGACAUAUUUACUUUAUUGAGAUAUCAUAUCCAGUGAUAAAAAAUAAUAAGAUAUAUAAAAAAUAUAAAUAACAUAU